rnacentral:rRNA from 1 species
UACGAAGGGGGCUAGCGUUGCUCGGAAUCACUGGGCGUAAAGCGCACGUAGGCGGAUUGUUAAGUCAGGGGUGAAAUCCUGGAGCUCAACUCCAGAACUGCCUUUGAUACUGGCGAUCUCGAGUCCGGGAGAGGUGAGUGGAACUGCGAGUGUAGAGGUGAAAUUCGUAGAUAUUCGCAAGAACACCAGUGGCGAAGGCGGCUCACUGGCCCGGUACUGACGCUGAGACACGAAAGCGUGGGGAGCAAACAGG